GCAAAUAUAGUUUAACAAAAACAUUAGAUUGUGAAUCUAAAUAUAGAAGCUUAAACCUUCUUAUAUGCC
rnacentral:tRNA from 1 species